GGGCCGGUAGUUUAGCCUGGCUAGAACGCUACCCUUACGAGGUAGUGGUCCCCGGUUCAAAUCCGGGCCGGCCCACCA
rnacentral:tRNA from 3 species